AAAUUUGAAUCAGUUAUAUUAAGUCUCCUAGAAAUCACUUGGUUUCUUUAUCUUUUUAUAGACAUCUAUCUCAAGCUUAGCUUUUAUGUUUCAAAAACAUUUUUUGAUCAAAGGAUAUUGGGUGUUCCGGUAAUGUAUUCAUUCAUAUAUGUAAGCUGCUUCAUGAAAAAGUUAUUACUUCUUCUCUCUUAAUUCCUGGUCUUGAUUGGGGUGUUGGGGAGGUAGGCAGUUUCCUAUACUACACUGUUGAGAAAUCGGCUUCUCUGAUUUGAGGCCUUGGAUUUCGGCUAUCUACCCAUUGAUUUGCUGUUCGUGGAAAAAGCUGUGGCCAUCUUAAAGUGCUUCUGCUUUCUUUUUAUUUUAAUUAUUUUUCAUUCACCACCAGGGUUCCCUAUUGUCCUCAUGUAGCCACAUCAAGUUUCUUCAUUUGCUUGUCAGGAUUUCGCCCACAGAGCAGAGCUUUAAGUUCCCAAUAAAAUUUAUCAAAAAACAGGUUGCAAGCCUCUACCUCUGGCCAAAAGUCCUAGAAAUACCUAUUUUAGACAGUUCAAGGAUGGCAAAAUUGAAGCUGAAGUUAAACUCACUGGAAUUCUCAGCUUAGGCGCAUUGCAGCCUGGGGAAUCCAGAAAAUAUGGUACACCUAUUGUUCCUGGGUCAUAUGCACCAGUCCAUCAACACUUCUUUGUUGCUCGUAUGGACAUGGCCAUCGAUUGUAAGCCUAGUGAAACAUUCAAUCAGGUGUGCUCCAAUGAAUUGAUAGGAUAUUCCCCAAUUUGUCUAUAGUUUGAUAUAUGCGAAAAGGAAUUUGAUAAUUCCUCAUAUUUUGUGUUUCUGUUUUUGGUUCCAUCAUAUUGUGAUGGUUUCUACUACAAAAUUUUGUCAGCUUUCUCCUCAAUGAGAUUUUGCAUUGAUAAAAGGAACACACUAGUUCGAAUUAUAAGAUUUCUUAUUGCUCUUGAUGAGUUAUGACAAUAGUUUUGCUUACUAUAAAACUUUUAAAUGGAAUGGGUCAUAGUUGUUUCAAGUAAAAGCCACAAAACUGAAUGUCCUUUGCCUGAGAUAUUUUAAAGUUUAAUUGAAGCAUUUUCUUAGCAUUACCUUUGAUAGGCCAAUGACAGCUGAUGUAUUUCAGUUGUAUGAUCACCACACCAAAAUCGAUUAUUAUUGCCAAUACAAUCUAUUUUCUAUGAGAUAGCAUAAUCACUCCCAACGGAUGGUUCGCCACACAAAAAAGGAUAUGCCUGUCCAUGA